GAUGAAGAACGUAGCGAAAUGCGAUACUUGGUGUGAAUUGCAGAAUCCCGUGAACCAUCGAGUUUUUGAACGCAAGUUGCGCCCGAAGCCGUUAGGCCGAGGGCACGCCUGCCUGGGCGUCACACGUCGUUGCCCCCCCAUCUACUCCUUCGGGAUUGCGGGGGGCGGAUGAUGGCCUCCCGUGCGCCUCGCCGCGCGGUUGGCAUAAAUGCCAAGUCCUCGGCGACGCACGCCACGACAAUCGGUGGUUGCGAAACCUCGGUUGCCCGUCGUGUGCGGUCGUCGCGCAUCGAGGGCUCGAAAAAAUUGCCGGGUUCCGGCUCGGCUUUCAACGCGACCCCAGGUCAGGCGGGGUUACCCGCUGAAUUUAAGCAUAUCAAUAAGCGGAGGA
rnacentral:misc_RNA from 1 species